GUUAAAACUGGGGAGAACAAUUACACAGCCUGUUUCAUUAGGAAGCUGUCUGAAGUAACUGCUUUGAUUAUGGGAUACAGUGAAAACCCACAAGCUGGCAGAGAAGUCAAAAAUUUGUCCUCAUCUGCUGUCUGUGAUCCAAUCAGAUGUUUCAGCCCAGCAACUCUGGAGCAUCUCAUCCCUUCGGCAGUUUGCUCAACUCUCAUGUGGAGCGAGGCAGGCACGCGCCUGCUUGCAGAAUCAAGUACCUCACCUGCAGUGCUUAACUCACCAGAGCAUUGUCCAUCGUCUGGUGGCGAGAGUCCUCUGCAUGGCAAACAUUUCUUCUUCCUCCUGAUGUCCUCCAUCAGAGCUAUCCAUUCUUAUUGCCCAUCCAUCAACCUCCUGAUGAAUAUAAAGGACCGUGGUAUGACACACCAGAAGAUUGCUGGGUUGGUAUUACAAUGGAAAGGGAGUCUUUUGGAUCUGGAGGAUGUAGGGUAAAUCGUGGAUGACAGUUUAGAAAAGCCGGUCUCUGCUCUUGCAUUUUUCCCCCACUGUCACUCUUUAACAGUCUAGUAACCAUUUCAAAGGUAACCAAAACUGUACUCAUGGGCAAAUAACCUGGAAAUCUCCUUCUGAUUGACUCUAAUAACUGACAUAAUUUGUAAUAGAAGUGCAACGUGAUUUAUGCCUUUGCUUACUGGUAUAGUUUUAAGCAGGCACAAAGUGGUUGUUUAAUCUCACUCCUGUGUUAGAGGCAUUUAUCUUCCAUCUCUUUGUAUUUGCUAUUUACAUCUUCAUAAGAAUUCCGACACCGUAUCCUUCGCCAUUACCAGUGCUCUUUGAUUGAACAGCACUUAUGAAUACCUGUAUAUUCGGGGGUUAUUAAUGAACAUUGUGAGUUCUUCUGUCUGCCUGCUUAUGACAGAUUAUCUGCAGUGGAUUUUGAUCAAGAGGGAGCUAAAGGUGAGGGUCAAGCAGAAAGCCUACAUGAAAAACAUCUCAACCACCAAUGUACUUACCAAGGUGGUUGCAGAAGCCAAGACCUCUACACCAAAAGAGUGAUGAGUUACCGUGCCUGCUUUACAGGAGCGGUAGUGGGGAGGAAGAAAGGUCCAGCUGACCCAGACCAAGUGAGAGCUGGAGCCUGCCACAAGCAGGCACUGUCAUGGUCCCUGGGCCACUGGAUGCCCAGGCUCCUCUAAGGAAAGAUGGGAAGAGCUGUGUAAAAUAAUUCAUUGUUUUAAAGUCAUUCCAAGAAAUGUAGUGCAUUUACUGGCAAAUCAAGGCUAUUUAUGGAGAGGCAUUUACCAGCUGGUGCAAGGUACUGCUCAGUGACAGUACCACAGUGCCACUGUUCUUAGUGAUCUCUUCAGGAACCAUCUGAGUGACAGGUCCACUGCUAAGGAGAGCAGAGACCAGCACUUUGCAGGGAGGCAGAUCAGAGAAGGGGUUCAACAGGUACCGCGCUUCCCAGACAACACAACACUGACCUUGGGUAAUGAGUACAGAUCCCACAGUUGCAUACUGUCACCAGUGCAAGAACCAUCAGCUGCUCAAGUGCCCCUGGUGCUGGCAAAGAUAUACCAGUACUGCUUCCAAAAAGUAUCUUAGGGUUCACAGUACAUCCCAUGUGCAUUGCAACAGCUUUGUGUUUGGCACCUUAGGGGACGGGGAAGGGAGGAAGGGGCAGAAGACAAAGACAGGGGCAGGCCUGCAGGCACACAUGUGCAAGGAGAGGAGAGGAGAGACCUGAAGGAGCAGCCUUUUUGUUUGCAGCUGAUGGCUAAUCUUUGGAAUAAACAAGGGCACUUGCAAUCA
ensembl:lncRNA